AUACAAAAAAUCAUACAAACGGGUGACAAAAAAUAAAGGAAAAACCGGUACAGGUCUGAAUGCUUGACCCCUACAGCGAGGGGAUCUGUUGUGCUUUGGGGGACAUUUUGUUGGAAUGGUUUGGGUCCACUUGUCCCCUUAGAGGGAAGGCUCACUGCUAAUCAAACAGUCAAUAAGGGGGACGGGGACGAGGGGGGGUUGUUCUGCAUCAUUAUUCUAUGAUGACACAUUUAUUUUCCCUUUAAUUUGGCACACUCAAAUGGAAAAGCUUAUCACAGCAGAACUGUGAGGCCAGAAUGCACGUAUUAGGGCUUAAUUUGACAGGUAACAUCUUCUAGUUUUUGGAAAUGUGUUUGUUUAGCAUGUGUCUAAAACAACCAAAACUACAUAAGUUCAAACAUGUCUCAAGAAAGUGUUUUUGGUCCCCGUCUAUAAUGAGUCACAAACCUUACCAAAAUGUCUCCAACUUUCUCCGGCUUGUACUCAUUAGUGUAUGAUGGUAAGCCUCUUACAACUGGCUUUAACAUAACCAGCUUUAAAAAAUUUUUUCAAUUGCUUAGAAAAGUAUGUGCAAAAACUGGAUCGCUGAAAACUGCGAAGGAAGAAGGCAACCUGGAUAUUUCCCUAUUGAAUAAUUGCAGACGCUUCUCUAAUCUUCCCUUUAUUGAGAAACUACUGAGAAAAUUGUUUUGGAUUCAACUCAGCUUUUUUUU